AAGUCGUAACAAGGUUUCCGUAGGUGAACCUGCGGAAGGAUCAUUAAAGUGUUUCGGAGCCUGGCUCAGGCACCUCAACUCGAGGUGUCGGUGCCAGCGCCCCCACACGUGUUUACUCAACUUGGUUGCCUUGGUGAGCCUGCCCUUGUGGCUGCCGGGGAUGCCUCACGGCGUCCUGGGCUCGUGCUCACCAAUGGAACAUUUGAACUCUUAUGUGAAAAUAGUCAGUCUGAGCAUUAUGCAAAUUAAAUAAAACUUUCAACAACGGAUCUCUUGGUUCCG
rnacentral:misc_RNA from 1 species